GACGUCGCGAUCCGUUGGGUGUCUGUCGAAGACUUGGGGUGGAGCCCACGCGAUUUCGAUCGUGUGGACCCCCGAUGUUCCGACAGACUCGCUCGACGGUAUACUAAUGGCGCGAGGCCGCUACCUCAGUUAGCGUUCGGCCCGUAGCAAGCACGUUCUGUGUUUGACAGCGAUCGGACCUGGUGCCGAUUCUGUUCCGGAACGACUGUUGGUUACGGUGUUCUCUCCUCGAACAGACCUCGUUUACGAAACGCCGAUCAGCGACGCUAUCGAUUUGGGUACUUUCAGGACCCGUCUUGAAACACGGACCAAGGAGUCUAGCAUGUGCGCGAGUCAUUGGGACACGACUAAACCUAAAGGCGUAAUGAAAGUAAAGGUUUACCUUGCGUAGACCGAGGGAAGAUGAGCGGCUCGCCCUUAAAAGUGACCGCUUCGCACUCCCGGGGCGUCUCGUUCU
rnacentral:rRNA from 1 species